rnacentral:rRNA from 1 species
UACGUAGGGGGCAAGCGUUGUCCGGAAUCAUUGGGCGUAAAGCGCGUGUAGGCGGUCCGGUAAGUCCGCUGUAAAAGUCGGGGGCUCAACCCUCGGAUGCCGGUGGAUACUGUCGGGCUUGAGUACGGAAGAGGCGAGUGGAAUUCCUGGUGUAGCGGUGAAAUGCGCAGAUAUCAGGAGGAACACCAAUUGCGAAGGCAGCUCGCUGGGACGUUACUGACGCUGAGACGCGAAAGCGUGGGGAGCGAACAGG